ACCUGCAUGACCAUUUCCAACGGAGACUGGUUUAUCAGUACGAGGGUCCCAGACGCGAACUUUCUUAUCUCGAGAAGUUGUUACAAGUCUGGUACCAUCAGCGUUGAACGACAUAGACUGGCACAUUACAUCCAUUUUCAGAGAUACAUGGGCUACACCCUUCUCACAAUCCCACAACUUGAUAGUAUUGUCUGCACUAGAAGAUGCCAAAACAUUCGCUGCAGUGGGAUGAUAUUGAACAAGACCAACUUUACUAUACAAAAAAGUCAGUAACUAAAACCCUAAUGCAAUGUACGACAUACCGGCUAUGGCCCUUUAAUUCAGCAAUUGGAUGAACAUCUUCAUAAGGCUCCAUAACAGUAUAAUCUUCUGGUACUUUCCAUAUCAUAAUCUAAUUCGUUAAUACAUAAAUAAAGUCAAAUAGCAGGAUACCUUAGAAUCAUCACCGCCGGAUGCUAAUACUUGAUCAUGGAAGGGAUUCCAAUCAGUAUCUAAAACAGCCGCAGUAUGGCCCCGAAACAAAUUAACUUGAUCGGGAAGCUUUCCUCUUUCGUUUAAAGGGAUAACUGCCAAUGCACCUCCAGCUCCCGCAUUCCAAUUAACACUGAGGUAAAAGGGGUUCACACUCAAUAGGUUAGAAUCCCAUGCAUUAUUGCUAAGCUAUUGAAGACAAUUAGUAAAUUUCAAACCAUUAAAGUAUCGACCAACCUUUAUGUUGUCGUAGCAAAGUUCUUUUUUGCAGGUUUGUCCAAAGAUAUGUCCUAACGUCAGUUAAUAAUUAUUUACUCAAAAAGCAUGCGUACUAUAUUUACUAGCUCUCACAAAUCUUCCACUCAUUUUUGAAAAAGAAUAAUUCCUUUAUAAGAUCGAAUGAGAAUUUGCUAAUUGAGCUAACUUUAUCCGGGGUGUCAGGUAAUGAACAAAGUCGGGAUCGGAAUAGGAAGGAGGACGGAUGAGAAUGACAAGCACCUAAAGUUGUACUGGUCGUUGAAAAUAACCAAUAUUAUUGAUAGUAGAUAUUAAAAUAUUUAAAUUUUGGAAAAAGCAGUUCAUUAUGAGGAAUUGUUUGAAUUUUUAUAAGGUGCCUUUAUAGAUUUUAUUAAACUAGAUAUCAC